GACGAACGCUGGCGGCGUGCUUAACACAUGCAAGUCGAACGGAGAGGCCCUGCUUUUGUGGGGUGCUCGAGUGGCGAACGGGUGAGUAACACGUGAGUAACCUGCCCUUGACUUUGGGAUAACUUCAGGAAACUGGGGCUAAUACCGGAUAGGAGCUCCUGCUGCAUGGUGGGGGUGGGAAAGUUUCGGCGGUUGGGGAUGGACUCGCGGCUUAUCAGCUUGUUGGUGGGGUAGUGGCUUACCAAGGCUUUGACGGGUAGCCGGCCUGAGAGGGUGACCGGCCACAUUGGGACUGAGAUACGGCCCAGACUCCUACGGGAGGCAGCAGUGGGGAAUAUUGCACAAUGGGCGGAAGCCUGAUGCAGCAACGCCGCGUGCGGGAUGACGGCCUUCGGGUUGUAAACCGCUUUCGCCUGUGACGAAGCGUGAGUGACGGUAAUGGGUAAAGAAGCACCGGCUAACUACGUG
rnacentral:rRNA from 1 species